rnacentral:rRNA from 1 species
AGGGGCAGCAUGGUCUUAGCUUGCUAAGGCUGAUGGCGACCGGCGCACGGGUGAGUAACACGUAUCCAACCUGCCGUCUACUCUUGGCCAGCCUUCUGAAAGGAAGAUUAAUCCAGGAUGGGAUCAUGAGUUCACAUGUCCGCAUGAUUAAAGGUAUUUUCCGGUAGACGAUGGGGAUGCGUUCCAUUAGAUAGUAGGCGGGGUAACGGCCCACCUAGUCAACGAUGGAUAGGGGUUCUGAGAGGAAGGUCCCCCACAUUGGAACUGAGACACGGUCCAAACUCCUACGGGAGGCAGCAGUGAGGAAUAUUGGUCAAUGGGCGAUGGCCUGAACCAGCCAAGUAGCGUGAAGGAUGACUGCCCUAUGGGUUGUAAACUUCUUUUAUAAAGGAAUAAAGUCGGGUAUGCAUACCCGUUUGCAUGUACUUUAUGAAUAAGGAUCGGCUAACUCCGUGCCAGCAGCCGCGGUAAUACGGAGGAUCCGAGCGUUAUCCGGAUUUAUUGGGUUUAAAGGGAGCGUAGAUGGAUGUUUAAGUCAGUUGUGAAAGUUUGCGGCUCAACCGUAAAAUUGCAGUUGAUACUGGAUGUCUUGAGUGCAGUUGAGGCAGGCGGAAUUCGUGGUGUAGCGGUGA